rnacentral:rRNA from 1 species
CAUGCAGUCGAACGGAAACGAUACUAGCUUGCUAGUAGGCGUCGAGUGGCGGACGGGUGAGUAACGCGUAGGAAUCUGCCUGAUAGUGGGGGAUAGCCCGAAGAAAUUCGGAUUAAUACCGCAUAAUCUAUUCGUAGUAAAGUGGGGGACUUUCGAGCCUCACGCUAUCAGAUGAGCCUGCGUAAGAUUAGCUUGUUGGUAGGGUAAAAGCCUACCAAGGCGACGAUCUUUAGCUGGUCUGAGAGGAUGAUCAGCCACAUCGGGACUGAGACACGGCCCGAACUCCUACGGGAGGCAGCAGUGGGGAAUAUUGGACAAUGGGGGCAACCCUGAUCCAGCAAUACCGCGUGUGUGAAGAAGGCCUGAGGGUUGUAAAGCACUUUCAAUUGUGAAGAAAAGUUAACGGUUAAUAACCGUUAGCCUUGACGUUAACUUUAGAAGAAGCACCGGCUAACUCCGUGCCAGCAGCCGCGGUAAUACGGAGGGUGCAAGCGUUAAUCGGAAUUACUGGGCGUAAAGCGUGCGUAGGUGGUUUAUUAAGUCAGAUGUGAAAGCCCCGGGCUUAACCUGGGAACUGCAUUUGAAACUGGUAAACUAGAGUAUGGUAGAGGAAAGUGGAAUUUCUGGUGUAGCGGUGAAAUGCGUAGAUAUCAGAAGGAACAUCAAUGGCGAAGGCAGCUUUCUGGACCAAUACUGACACUGAGGUACGAAAGCGUGGGUAGCAAACAGGAUUAGAUACCCUGGUAGUCCACGCCGUAAACGAUGAUAACUAGCCGUUGGGGGGAUUUACCCUUUAGUGGCGAAGCUAACGCGUUAAGUUAUCCGCCUGGGGAGUACGGCCGCAAGGUUAAAACUCAAAGGAAUUGACGGGGACCCGCACAGCGGUGGAGCAUGUGGUUUAAUUCGAUGCAACGCGAGAACCUUACCUGGUCUUGACAUCCUGCGAACUUUCUAGAAUAGAUUGGUGCCU